AGAUAGGAAAUUUCUAAAAGGCCUUCAUGCUGAUAUCUAUGAUCGAGUUGUUAUGCUGAGACCCAGCUCAUAUGCCAAGGUGCUAGAACAUGCCCAGUUGGCCGAGGACCUUAUCUUAGCCAGGCAGCAACCCAUUGCCCGAGUUCGUACCCAACAACAAUAAAACUAACCCCAACAACAGGAGACGAACCAGUACAGUGACACUCGGUUUGCACGAGGUCCAAUUUACAGUGUUUCUGGCAGUUUUUCAAUGCGUCUUCACCAUAUCUGUGCCAGAUCCAUUGAGUCACACAGUCCUGUGCCUUUUUUUAGUGUUUUCCAAU
rnacentral:lncRNA from 1 species